rnacentral:ribozyme from 11 species
UCUUUUCUUUCUUUCUUUCUUUCUUUCUUUGCUUGUUUGUUUGUUUGUUUCUUCCUUUCCACCAAAAAAACGGAGGACGGACCGAAGC